GCUCUGGGACUUCUGCUGAAACAAUUAGGAAGGAGAGCUCUCUGUCCUGGGUAUAGGCCUGGAGUUUUUGAUGGUCAUCUUUGCCACUAUCUAAGAAUAAAGCCAGUGCUGAAGGAAGCAAAACUGAGAGAUGGAGAAUGAGUCCAGCUGACAUGGUUUGAGCAGCGGUUCAACUGCAUAGAAAAAGCAAGGCAAGUGAGGGAGAGAAAAAUAUGGGACUCAGGGAGAGGAGUCAACUUGCCUAAAGUCAAACAGGUCCAUCACAUAGUCAGGAUUCAGACCCAGAAGGCAAGCCACCACCAGAGUGCAAGCCACCACCCUCCAGCACCUCCAGAUUUAAGGAAAAGCCCACAUUAUACCCCAAUUCCCAGUCAAGGGCAGCUGCUGGGAACAUGGCACGUGGAAGCAAAUGCCCUGCUGUGGGAAGACGCUAUGAUAUUGUACCCCCACCUCAACUUCAAACAUAAAAAAUACUGUGCACCAA